GGCUGUUGCUUUCUUAGGUGACAGGAAACCUACUGGCUGGCCUUUGACAUUCUGCCCAUCCCAUCGGGACAGUUGUCAUCAGACAGGAAGAAUGAAAGCACACAGUGAUCAAUGGAGUUACUGAUGAUCAGAGCUGAGUGAAGACAUGGGCAUUUGGAAAAGGUUUAUUAUGCAUCAAUGACGAUUCUGAGGCGAUUACAUUUCCCCCAAGACCACACAGCUGGAAAGGAGAAGAGCCAACUUCAAAUCCCGGUCCUUCAACAACUUCUUAGCUUUGGAUAAAAAGGAAGGUGACAAUUUUAAAGGAUGUCUUUGGGUCCUUAAGACAAAAGCCCAAUGUAAACACCAGCUUUUUAAUCCAGUUCUUAAAACUUGCCAACCUAAAUUCAGGACUGAAUUUAUGCCUGUAUUUUCUGAGGAUGAGCAAAAUGUCACAUCAUUUUCAUUUUGUGGCCUGGAGAACGAAUCAGUUUUUCUGACGGAAUCAGGAUUUGGAGCUCCUGGAAAACAGGAAAUGUACAUUGAUGAAUUCUCCCAAUGCAGCAACUAGUACCACCCUGCGGGGAUGCAUUAAACACCUGUCAACUUCCCUCUGCAUCCUGCCCUCCUGGGGGAGCCUAGGACUGAUGGAAUCAUCUAUGUGAGGUCACUUGCUGAGCAACUAUUGAAAGGAUCCCACGGUUUCUCUAAUAGAGUCACAUUUAAGGGCUGGUGGAAUCAUCUGAAGGGAUGAAGGGAACCAAAUGCCUGUGACAGCCCCAGUGCUUAUUCUCUUCUUACAGCAUAAAGAAUGAAAACCUCACAUGACCUCAGCAAAAAGUAAAUUACAAAAUGAUGGCAACUGAUAGAAAACAAUGAAAUGCUUUUCUUGAUAACUUCACACUGGCUGAUCUGAUCCAUGUAACAUGACAUCAUUCACUGGGCAAUGUUCAGAUUGUGUUUAAGAGUGUCCUAAUUUUUUUUUUUUUUCCAGGAAAAAAAUACCCAGUGGCCACAGUGUCAUUAAAACCUUUAGAGUCAGUUUUAACAAAAAUGUGUCAGUUGCCAAGUUAAUCUCGGCUACUUUUUGAUUCAUUUCCCAAAGGCUUGUAUAUAGAAACUGCAGUAAGAAAAGAGAUGGGCUUCUUUGCUUUUCACGCAUUUAAAAAAUCAUGAGGGAAUCAGAAAAUCACCAUCAGAAUACCGCAGUAAUAACUGUUGCAGACAUGAUCCACUCCUAUAUGAUACAAUAAAUACUGUACUUAUUUUUAUAGUAUGUGAUACUAUACAAAUCCACUGCUAUAUGAUACAAAAGUUUGAAGAUAAACAGGAUACUCUAACAUAGCCCCAAAGUAUUACCCCUACUGUAGAGAAAAGAGUAAAAGAGUAACUUCAUAGUGGAGAAACCUGGGAUCAAUCAGUACAACAUAUUGACAUCAUAUGCCCCCUAACGUGAUGUGCUGAGAAGGAUACAUCAUUUCUGGGAUAUUCUUGCCAAAAAUGCCUAACUUCAAAUUUGACUGAUGGGAAAACAUCGGUCAAAUCCAAAUUGAGAAACAGUGUACAAAAAGCUGACCUGUGCUCCUUAAAAGUGGUAAGGUCAUGGGUGAUAGUGAAAGACUGAAUUGGCACAGAUCAGAGGAGACUAAGGAGACAUGAGUAUU